UGCGCAGGCGGAAGAUUAAGUCAGUGGUGAAAUCCUACAGCUCAACUGUAGAACUGUCAUUGAUACUGAUUUUCUUGAAUAUAGUUGAGGUAGGCGGAAUGUGUAAUGUAGCGGUGAAAUGCUUAGAUAUUACACAGAACACCGAUUGCGAAGGCAGCUUACUAAGCUAUUAUUGACGCUGAGGCACGAAAGCGUGGGGAGCGAACAGGAUUAGAUACCCUGGUAGUC
rnacentral:rRNA from 1 species